rnacentral:tRNA from 1 species
GGAGGGUUGGCAGAGUUGGUCGAAUGCACCGGUUUUGAAAACCGGCGACCGUCAGGUCCGGGGGUUCGAAUCCCUCACCCUCCG